rnacentral:sRNA from 1 species
GGUCUGCAGUACCCUGUGGCGGGUGCGAACCCCCGCCCGGCAGUGGCGGGGGCUGCUCCCAGCUUCUGGCUGUCGCGGACCUGCCGCCUCCUCCUACUCCGCAUCCGCCGAGCCUGCCCGGGUCCGGGCGCUUGUCUAUGGGCACCACGGGGAUCCAGCCAAGGUCGUCGAGUGUACAGCCUUGGCCUCAAAGGAGCCAUUGUGACCUUAUCCAGGCUGGGAUCUGUUGAUUGAGGACAGUGGCAUCCCCUCGAGUUGCAUGGCGCCAUUACACUCACGGAGGACGUGAACGAGGUAUAACCAGGGAAUUGUUUCAGAGGUUUCCUUGGAUAUUCCUACAACUGAUAACAGCUGUCAUUUCUUCAGCAUCUACUGUAACCGUAAUUCCUGGGCACACAUGGCAGCUCAGAAAUGUUGCCUGACCUACUUUGAGGAGAUGAUUUGAGCGAAACACCCAUUCUAGCCUGGAUGACAUGAACAUCUCCGUUUGGCUUUGUGCUUAGACUCAAGAACCUGGAGCUAGCUGCUGUGGGAGGAUCAGAUGUCCGUGUGAAGAUGCUGGCGGCCCCUAUCAAUCCAUCUGACAUAAAUAUGAUCCAAGGAAACUACGGACUCCUUCCUGAACUGCCUGCUGUUGGAGGGAACGAAGGUGUUGCACAGGUGGUAGCGGUGGGCAGCAAUGUGACCGGGCUGAAGCCAGGAGACUGGGUGAUUCCAGCAAAUGCUGGUUUAGGAACCUGGCGGACCGAGGCUGUGUUCAGCGAGGAAGCACUGAUCCAAGUUCCGAGUGACAUCCCUCUUCAGAGCGCUGCCACCCUGGGUGUCAAUCCCUGCACAGCCUACAGGAUGUUGAUGGACUUCGAGCAACUGCAGCCAGACCUGAUAUCCAGAAGCUGAGUGACAGAC